rnacentral:lncRNA from 1 species
GUGCUGGGAUUACAGGCGUGAGCCACCAUGCCCAGACACUUGUUUGUUUUAAAGCGUAUUUUGUCUGAUCAUAGGAAAGCCACUCCAAGUCUUUUAUAAUUGUUGUUUACAUGGUGUAUUCUUUUCCACCCUUUCUUUCAACCCAUUUGUAUCUUUGCUUGUAAAAUGUGUCUCUUGUAAACAACAUGUAAUUUGAUCUUUUUUUUUAUUUUGUAUUUUUUUAUUUUUUGGACGGAGUCUCACUCUGUCACCCAGGCUGGAGUGCAGCAGUGUGAUCUCAGCUCACUGCAACCUCCACCUCCCAGGUGCAAGUGAUUCUCAUGCCUCAGCCUCCCGAGUAGCUGGGAUUACAGGCACGUGCCACCACGCCUGGCUAAUUUUUUUGUAUUUUUAGUAGAGAUGGGGUUUCACCAUGUUAGCCAGGAUGGUCUUGAUCUCCUGACCUCGUGAUCUGCCCACCUCGGCCUCCCAGAGUGCUGAGAUUACAGGCGUGAGCCACCCCACCCCGCCUCGAUCUUUUAAAAAUUCAGUCUGACAAUCUCUGCCUUUUGAUUGGAUUGUUUAAUUCUUUCAUAUUUAAUGUUAUGAUUGAUAUAGUUAGAUUGACAUCUGACAUUUUACCUUUUUCUAUAGGUCUCUUAUCAUCUUUGUUACAUGAUUUAUCCUUUAUUGUUUUACUUUGUAUUAAGUAGAUAUUUUCUAAUGCAACACUAGAUAUCACUAAUUUCUUAAAUAAUGUUUACAUUGUAUUUUGACCCCAUUUUUUGAUGCCAUUUUGAGGCCCAACAAUACACCUGUAUAUUACAUAUAUUGUUUUAUGUAAUUACUUUUUAAGUAAGGCAAGAAAAUAAAGGGAAAGUAUGCAAUUAUGCAGUCUUUUGUAAUUAUCUAAAUACCUAUCUAAGGGGACUGGGGAGUCAUGCUCUACAAACCAUAAAAAUCUCAUCAGACAGGUUUUUAUAAAAUGUGGCUUGCUUUCCACUUGACUUUGGUAUAAUAUCACAUGACAGAUAGCAGACUCUAAAGGACAUAUUAAUAAAAAUAUUUUACCACAAAAUAUAUUUCUUUAAUGUACUUUGCAAUGGCUGCCACAGUGCCAACAGAUUAAAAUGGCCCUGCAAAGCCAUCUUUUAUGGGGACAAUUUGCAGCUAUAGAGAAUCUCCAUGAAUAUAACCAGGUAUUUUCCCUUCCAGGAGGUUUUCUCAGAUCCAGGAGAGAUUAAGGGAGAGCCUGACACCUUUAAAGUCUGAAAAGAGUCACUCAUCAGCUAUCAUAUCUCUGAGAGCUGCCACCCAUGAGGCUUCAUCUACAUAAUAAGAACAUGGUCUCCAAAACUCCCUAAUCUUAACUCAGGCAUUCUUUUCUACUGAUUUCAAGUCCUUAGACAAUAGCUUAACUCUCUCAACCAACUGGCAACUGAAGAAUCCCCUAAACCCACCUAUGACUUGUAAGCCCCCACUUUGAGAUGUCCCGCCUGUUCCAGCCAAACCAAUGUGCACCCUUCUCAUAUUGAUUUAUUAUUUUACCUGCAAUUCCUGUCUCCCUGAAAUGUGUAAAACCAAACUAUAACCCAACCACCUCAGGCACACUUUCUCAGGACCUCUUGAGAUUGUGUAACCUGGGCCAUAGUCAAACAUAUUGGCCCAGAGUAAACCUCUUUAAAUAUAUUUUGGCAACAUUUGGAUUUUUCUGUCAUCAACUGCUUUCAAAAUUUUCUGUUUGUGUUUGUCUCUAACAUUUUGAUUAUGAUGUGUUUGGGUGUGUUUCUCUUUGUUUUUAUCCCACUU